UUAAAAGCUUGAAUUCCCUCGAGGAUGGAUUGUGUAAAACAAGGAGAUUCGAAACUGCUUUGAAUCUAUUUCAUAAAAUUUCUUGGCAUGAAAACCUAGUGCUGCUGAAAAACUUUCUGAAAUAGGUCCCAAGCAGUUUCCAAUACGCUUAUCUUUGGUUUCCUGAAAAAUAAUGAGAGACCAAAAGUUGUUGAACUCCUUUAUAAGAUGGUGGAGAGAAAUCUAAGAAGAAGACCUUCACCAAGUACUCAAGGAAGUUUGAAAGUGAAGAUAGGAAGAAAGAUAUCGAGGCCUUCACCGUUGCCCAGAAGGUUGACUUUUCAUAUGGUUUCUUUGAGAAGCAGAUCUUCGCAAGGUUAGAAAAUCUACAAGCUUCUCACUUUGCCAUGACCGAAUGUGACAGGACUGAGAAGGAUUGCUUUUCCGGUUUUCAGGACUGAGAAGGAUAUUACACCGAUGGCAGGAUUCCCUCUUUAUGGUAUCGUGAAAGAAGAUUUCCUGCUGAUCAAGGGGUGCUGCGUUGGACCCAAAAAGCGCGUGGUGACAUUGAGGCAGUCAUUGCUGAAGCAGACAUCGAGACUUGCAAUGGAGGAGAUUAAGCUCAAGUUUAUUGAUAUAUCCUCCAAGUUCGGCCGUGGUCGGUUCCAGACUACACAGGAGAAGGCCAAGUUCUAUGGAAUCAAGGCUUGAUCAGCUCAAACAUUGUUUUCAAUAUUUGGUUCAUUAAAUUAAACAUCAGGUAUUAGUAGGUUAAAUUUUGAGUUCUUCCUUUGUUGACACUAUUUUGAAGCUUUACACAUUUAGAAAAGUUCUUGGAUCCUUGGAUCGA